GCCGCGGUAGCUCAAUUGGUAGAGCAUCACACGCAUGAUGUGAAGACGUGGAAUCGUUCCCCACCUGCGGCA